rnacentral:rRNA from 1 species
UUACAGCCAUAUCAUGUUGAAACACUGGUUCCUGUACAAUCACCAAAGUUAAGCAAUGUUGAGCCUGGUUAGUACCUAGAUGGGUGACUGCUUGGGAAUACCAGGUGCUGUAAGC